UAAGACGGAGGGCGCAAGCGUUGUUCGGAAUUACUGGGCGUAAAGGGCAGGUAGGUGGCCUGUUAAGUCUUCUGUGAAAAUCCGGGGCUCAACCCCGCGAAAUGCAGGUGAAACUGGCAGACUUGAGAUCGGUAGAGGCUAGCGGAAUUCCUGGUGUAGCGGUGGAAUGCGUAGAUAUCAGGAAGAACACCUGUGGCGAAGGCGGCUAGCUGGGCCGAUUCUGACACUGAACUGCGAAAGCGUGGGGAGCAAACAGGAUUAGAUACCCUGGUAGUCCACGCCGUAAACGAUGGGCACUAGAUGCCGGGCAUAUAGACGUGUUCGGUGUCGUCGCUAACGCAUUAAGUGCCCCGCCUGGGGAGUACGGUCGCAAGGCUG
rnacentral:rRNA from 1 species